GGACCGAGAGUCGAGACUGUGAACAAGGA
rnacentral:piRNA from 1 species